CUUGCAGCUGCAGGAAAAAGUCCAGCCUGUGGGGUGGAGUGGGGUGGGGUGGGAAAGGAGUGGAUCAAGGCCCUGAGGGAAACGACGUUUCAAAGAGGCAAACUGUUGGAUUGCAUCGGCCACAGAGUAUUUAGUAUGUCCAGAUACACACGCCUCAAUCUCUUCUGGAUUCAGCUGGGUUUGUACAAAGAGGUGAAGUCUACUGUCUGAAAGCAGCAGUGGAUUCUGGAGUAUCCUAAAAAUAAAAACUAAUCAGAAAUCUGAA